UACGGGGGGGGCAAGCGUUGUUCGGAAUUACUGGGCGUAAAGCGCACGUAGGCGGACUAUUAAGUCAGGGGUGAAAUCCCGGGGCUCAACCCCGGAACUGCCUUUGAUACUGGUAGUCUCGAGUCCGGAAGAGGUGAGUGGAAUUCCGAGUGUAGAGGUGAAAUUCGUAGAUAUUUCGGAGGGAACACCAGUGGCGAAGGGCGGCUCACUGGUCCGGUACUGACGCUGAGGAGCGAAAAGCGUGGGUAGCAAAACAGG
rnacentral:rRNA from 1 species